rnacentral:misc_RNA from 1 species
AGUUUAUAGAUGCGUUACAUCAAUUACAUUCAAAUUGUGAUAUGAGUUUGUGUAGUGGCAGACGGAGAAAAACACCCUCGCAAAAGGGCAAACUCCCCGUCUCACAGGUGCACAGGUGUGUGUGGAUGAAAGAGAAGGCGUGCACAUGCCGAAGGAGGCCAGCGACAACCGACUCUACAUUCAUUCGAUAAUGAUCCUUCCGCAGGUUCACCUACGGAAA